UGUCCCGUUCGUCUAGAGGCCUAGGACACCGGGUUUUCAUCCCGGCAACAGGGGUUCGACUCCCCUACGGGAUGCCAA
rnacentral:tRNA from 2 species